rnacentral:rRNA from 1 species
AGCGAACGCUGGCGGCAGGCCUAACACAUGCAAGUCGAACGGACCCUUCGGGGUUAGUGGCGGACGGGUGAGUAACACGUGGGAACGUGCCUUUAGGUUCGGAAUAGCUCCUGGAAACGGGUGGUAAUGCCGAAUGUGCCCUUCGGGGGAAAGAUUUAUCGCCUUUAGAGCGGCCCGCGUCUGAUUAGCUAGUUGGUGAGGUAACGGCUCACCAAGGCGACGAUCAGUAGCUGGUCUGAGAGGAUGACCAGCCACACUGGGACUGAGACACGGCCCAGACUCCUACGGGAGGCAGCAGUGGGGAAUCUUGCGCAAUGGGCGAAAGCCUGACGCAGCCAUGCCGCGUGAAUGAUGAAGGUCUUAGGAUUGUAAAAUUCUUUCACCGGAGACGAUAAUGACGGUACCCGGAGAAGAAGCCCCGGCUAACUUCGUG